rnacentral:rRNA from 1 species
AAAUUGAAGAGUUUGAUCAUGGCUCAGAUUGAACGCUGGCGGCAGGCCUAACACAUGCAAGUCGAACGGUAACAGGAAACAGCUUGCUGUUUCGCUGACGAGUGGCGGACGGGUGAGGAAUGUCUGGGAAACUGCCUGAUGGAGGGGGAUAACUACUGGAAACGGUGGCUAAUACCGCAUAACGUCGCAAGACCAAAGAGGGGGAC